CUGUGCGAUGUUAAAUUGUGAAGCUCUUGAGUUUUCGUUAAAGGGCGUGUCCAUGGCGCCAUCACAAAGUUCGAUGUCUCGCCAUGGGAAUAAAAGUUAUUGUAACUCAGGCAUAAAAUGUCCGAUCUUGCCCAAACUUCUCAUGUUUGAUAAGAGUCCUGGCCUGAACACAUCUGAUGGCCAAUAUUCCAUCGGGUGUGGCAAAAUGCCUCAAUAGCGCCACCUAUACACUUUCAACGGAGUGUGCCUCGAGCUACGUUUCACAUACAUGUACAAAAAUCGGUACACACAUGUAACAC
ensembl:lncRNA